CCUACGGGAGGCAGCAGUGGGGAAUUUUGGACAAUGGGCGAAAGCCUGAUCCAGCAAUGCCGCGUGAGUGAAGAAGGCCUUCGGGUUGUAAAGCUCUUUUGUCAGGGAAGAAACGGUGAGAGCUAAUAUCUCUUGCUAAUGACGGUACCUGAAGAAUAAGCACCGGCUAACUACGUGCCAGCAGCCGCGGUAAUACGUAGGGUGCAAGCGUUAAUCGGAAUUACUGGGCGUAAAGCGUGCGCAGGCGGUUUUGUAAGUCUGUCGUGAAAUCCCCGGGCUCAACCUGGGAAUUGCGAUGGAGACUGCAAGGCUAGAAUCUGGCAGAGGGGGGUAGAAUUCCACGUGUAGCAGUGAAAUGCGUAGAGAUGUGGAGGAACACCGAUGGCGAAGGCAGCCCCCUGGGUCAAGAUUGACGCUCAUGCACGAAAGCGUAGGGGAGCAAACAGGAUUAGGAUACCCUGGUAGUCCACGCCCUAAACGAUGUCUACUAGUUGUCGGGUUUUAAUACUUGGUAACGCAGCUAACGCGUGAAGUAGACCGCCUGGGGAGUACGGUCGCAAGAUUAAAACGUCAAAGAGUAGUACGGCGCGAGAGACGACGACGACGACGACGACGGAGGAGGAGG
rnacentral:rRNA from 1 species